rnacentral:rRNA from 1 species
CCUACGGGAGGCAGCAGUGGGGAAUCUUGCGCAAUGGGCGAAAGCCUGACGCAGCCAUGCCGCGUGAAUGAUGAAGGUCUUAGGAUUGUAAAAUUCUUUCACCGGGGACGAUAAUGACGGUACCCGGAGAAGAAGCCCCGGCUAACUUCGUGCCAGCAGCCGCGGUAAUACGAAGGGGGCUAGCGUUGCUCGGAAUUACUGGGCGUAAAGGGAGCGUAGGCGGAUAGUUUAGUCAGAGGUGAAAGCCCAGGGCUCAACCUUGGAAUUGCCUUUGAUACUGGCUAUCUUGAGUGUGGGAGAGGUAUGUGGAACUCCGAGUGUAGAGGUGAAAUUCGUAGAUAUUCGGAAGAACACCAGUGGCGAAGGCGACAUACUGGCCCAUUACUGACGCUGAGGCUCGAAAGCGUGGGGAGCAAACAGGAUUAGAUACCCUGGUAGUCCACGCUGUAAACGAUGAGUGCUAGUUGUCGGCAGGCAUGCCUGUCGGUGACGCNGCUACGCAUAAGACACUCCGCCGUCGGGAGGUACGGUCGCGAAGAAGUUAAACGUAACGAAAGUUAAAGUUAGUACGGCGUUGAGACGUUGCCGACGGACGACGACGAGGGAGGAGG